CGGCGUGACCUAACACAUGCAAGUCGUACGAGAAAGUUGGCUUCGGCCGAUGAGUAAAGUGGCGCACGGGUGAGUAAUGCGUGGAUAAUCUGCCCUUUAGUUGGGAAUAACGUACCGAAAGGUGCGCUAAUACCUGAUAAUACUGCAUAACUACUGUUGUGUAGUCAAAGAAGGCCUCUGUUUACAAGCUUUUGCUGAAGGAUGAGUCCGCGUACCAUUAGCUGGUUGGUGGGGUAAUGGCCUACCAAGGCUACGAUGGUUAGCUGGUCUGAGAGGAUGAUCAGCCACACUGGAACUGAGACACGGUCCAGACUCCUACGGGAGGCAGCAGUGAGGAAUAUUGCGCAAUGGGGGCAACCCUGACGCAGCAACGCCGCGUGAGUGAGGAAGGUUUUCGGACCGUAAAGCUCUGUCGAGCGGGAAGAAAUGUAUCAUGGCUAAUAUCCAUGAUACUUGACGGUACCGCUAAAGGAAGCACCGGCUAACUCCGUG
rnacentral:rRNA from 1 species